UACGUAGGGUGCGAGCGUUAAUCGGAAUUACUGGGCGUAAAGCGUGCGUAGGCGGUUCGUUAAGUUCGUUGUGAAAGCCCCGGGCUCAACCUGGGAACUGCAAUGGAAACUGGCGGGCUUGAGUGUGGCAGAGGGGGGUGGAAUUCCGCGUGUAGCAGUGAAAUGCGUAGAGAUGCGGAGGAACACCGAUGGCGAAGGCAGCCCCCUGGGCCAACACUGACGCUCAGGCAUGAAAGCGUGGGGAGCAAACAGG
rnacentral:rRNA from 1 species